UGCUUCGUGGAAUCCGCACACAAGCGUAUCUGCAUCUAGAGAGGCAAUGAUAAGUAGUUGGGAAAAGAAGAAACGGGAUCACGAAAAUCAGGAUACAUCGUUUUGACAAACAAUCCGAGUGCUCCAAACAGAGCCGCAGAAAUUCACGGUUCACGAAGUUACAUAACGAAGUCUCGAGUGAAUUCCCGCGAAUGUGCACACAUCGAUGACAAGAGUCGAUCGUUGGACGCCGACGAGAAAGCGUUUUAUAUCGCUGUACCAAUGAUAGAGUUUCAAAUUUUUCGAGAUGAAUUCGUGUAAGGGAGUUUAAGAACGCCGGUCAGAGGACUGAAAAACUGUAAUUUCAGUCGCACGUGCGGUUGAGCCGUUUGGUUCCAACGAGGAUCAAUCGAGACGUUCAAUUCGUUUAAAUCAGUUCCCCAGCUGUUUUGCGUUUAUCGGUGAUGUUUGAUAGGAACGGAGAUUCCCGAUUAAGAACGAGUGAAAUUCAGUGUUAUAUGAUUGAAAAGAAUGAAACUUGGCAAGGGAAUGGAUGAGAUUUUCAUAUAUUCUCGAAUUUGACGAAUUUUUGAAAGAAACGAAGUUUCUUCUCUCGUUGUUCGAGUUAAGAUUUGUCUUAACUAUAUGUGAAAUCAAAAGGCAUUUCGUUAUUAUCUGCGCAUCACUCAGUAUUGUUCAAACAUAAAUCUAGACAAAUAAUCUGGAUUGAUUUAUUGUACCUUUCUGAAUUUGCUUUUUUUCUUCUUUGUCAUUAAUUUUUGAAGAACGCUAGAAACUAGUAUAUUCGAAAAACUUUAAUUUGUUCUAGAUCUUAAGAUGAACGUUUGGGGAGAAUAUACUUAAUGAAUCAUUCAAUAAUUUUUUUUUAAAUUUGAUAGAUAAACAAAUGAUAAAUCAAGUUAUUAAAAGAUAUGUAAUUUUACUGAUUACUAAAGCAUUGUGAUAUUUCAUCUUUUUGUUGUCUCUUACACAAUAUUACUCAGUUACAUCAUUGACGAAAAGAUAAAAUGAUUUCCUAAAAUACACUUUGUUUAUUAUUUCAAUAUUAUUUAUUAUUAAUUAUUGUUAAUUAGUUAAAAACUCACGUUUCGAUGUUUAAAAUAAAGUUUCAAAGUAACCUUCGUGUAUUAAAAAUCAUCGUUGGUGCUUGAUACUGAUAGUAGCAAAAAAAGAAAAGCUUUUUAAGAUGUAUAUUCUCAGAGAUUAUAAUAAUACACAUCCUAUUAAUUAUUAUAUAUUAAUUAUUAAUUAGUUAUUGUAGUUUUUGGUAAAUUUAUAUAAACAGAAACAUAACUUGUAUUUAUAAAAAACAAAUUUGAAGUAUUUUUUUUCAAGUAAUAGUAAUAUAAAACGUUUCAAAAAUUCCAAUCAUUAUUUAGAAAUUAAAUUAUUGAUUUUCGACAAUCGUAUCUAUAUUUUGAAAAAAAAUAUGAGUUUGAGCAUUCUCGACAAUGUAAUCGGAUGUAAUAAUUUACGUGAUCCAGAUAGAUUAUAUGUUAUGCAGAAGAUAAAUUAAUGGCUCAUAAAAUCAAUCAACGGGGAAAACAGGACCGAAAUUGAACGCGAAUGUAUCGCUAAUUGCGCAGCGGGGGCAUCAAUCAUGUGGGUUUACCAACUUUAAAAAGAUACACGUCAACUCAUGUUGGAAGAAACGUGAUAAUGAAGAGACUGUUUGUACUCAAUAAAUCUUACUACGGCUUAACAAGCGGCAAACUGGAACCAGGUUUUCAAUAUUCGCACAUGUGAAAUUUGUAUGAUUAACUGGGAUAAACUGGGAAGUUCGUAAUAGUUCGUAUAGGAAAUGACAAUUAUUUUUUUUUUAUUUAUUAAGAAAACUUUAAUAUUUUAAUCUUUUAAUGUUUUAUAUUAUGUCAAUUGUACAAACAUGUGUUCAAUUCGUUCGUAUUUAUUUUUCAUUACAAACGAGACGAGGUUUGCGCGUGUAUUAUACAAUUGCAUCUUGAAUGUGCUAUUUUGAGAUUCUUUGAUGAAAAUAAUACGAUGCUACAAUUCUUCUUAUCAAUUGGAAUUUUUUAAAAGCUUAAAUAUAUAAGUUGAGUAUGAAAUAUGAUUAUAAAUUUAGAAAUUCGCGGAUGUAUAAUAUAAUAAAUUAUUACUUCUUUUUUUUUGAAUUUUUCGAAUUUAUUGAAAAAUAUUAUUUAUCACAAAAAAUUAUAUAAGCUCGAAAAACUGAGGAAAUAUUUUCACCGAUAUUUUCACAACCGAGAAUGUCUUCCGGCAAUUAUUAUUAUCAAAUAUUUUUCGCGUUAUUAUGACGAACCUUUGAGGACAAAUUAAACACAACUCGUAUCCACUGACAUAAAGAUAUCAGGCGUGAUAUAUAUCGAGAAACAUGGGUUGCAUUGUCUUACAACGCUCGGCAUUAAUAUACGCAAUGAUAUAUGACUAUCAUGUAAUCGAUUGUCUCGCCGCGCAAUGAUUGUCUCUAUUCGCCUCUGUUUCACUCGUCGCGGAUGAGUUUUCGAGUACUCUUCACAACGGAACAAGUCAGCAGGAUGUUAAACGGUUAAAUCGAGUCAUUAUGCAUUUCAUUUUGUUUUCUUCUCUACCAAAAUUAGAGAGAUAUUUGAUACUUUGUAAUUUGAUAUGUAAUUGUUAAUUAAGAAUAAUCGAUGAUGUGAGAUAUUUGUAUAGAUAUAUUUCGAAAAUAUAUGUGACUAGAUGUAAAUUUUAUAUAAAAUUGAAUGCUUGUAAUACAAUAUUGGAAAUAUUAUAUUAUAUAGAAUAAAUUCUCGAAAAUUAAAAUCAAUAUAGCAAAAAUUGUUAUUAUUAUUAUUAUUUUUUAUUAAUUUUUAAUUCCACGAUUCAGUUUAAAGAUUGAAAAUAAAAUAAUACAAAGAAAGAAAUAUAAGAGGAGAAUAAGAGGAGACACGUAACUGAAAGUAGAUUUUAUUAGGCGCUAAUCGGGUGAUAGAGCAAAACAAUGGCGUAGCAAUUGGAAAGUUAGUCUAUAUACGCAAUAAAUAUUUUUCCGGACUAUGCUCUUUGACAUUCUAAUCAACGAUGAUGUCAUCGAACUUUGUUGAACUUGAAAGACCACGUGGAGAUGUGUCAGCUGUUUAAACUUACGCGCGAAUACUAUAAGAAAGAUAACAUUGCGUAUUUUUAUGAAAUGGUAUUUCCCGUUUGAACAAUUGUUCAUUUGCAUCGAAUUCAAAAAAGUUUUUACAAAAAGCGUGUAUAUGCAUUUUUGUUCGAAAUGUUUUUCCCUUAAACAUUUUGGUUAUUCAUUUAUCUUAUAUACAAAAAAACUUUACACACAUUAAAUAAAUUCAAGAAAUUUUAUUACAUCACAAUAUGAAUAUAAAUAAAAGUUGUGUAUCAAUUGUAAAUAUUUCAACAUCGUUCACACAGCAUUUAUUUUAAUAAUUAACAACUUCACGCUACUUUGAAAGUCAUGAAAAUUCAAUCCCAACGAGAAAAGAAGUGUAGAAACGCUCAAACCCUUUCACUUUCACAAUGAGAAUCGAAACAAAUAUCUUCUACUUACAAUAAGUAAAAAACUUUCAAUUAUACCAUUCAGACAAGGGAGCAAAGAUAAAAUUUCAUCUAAACUCCUAACAAGAUCAGAAUUAACUUAUGAUAUCAUUCACUCUCUAUCUGGCGCGAGAACGAGUUCUAUCGGACUUGGUAUGGCCCAAAUCGGCAGAAAUAGAAUAGUAAAAGCGAGAGUGAUCCAGUAUGGUAAGAACGAACGUGAGCGUGUCGUGCGUUCAGGUGAACACACGCGCGUGAAAGUAAUGCGAAUUAUGCGCGUGCACGAUCAUGUGUGUCCGGCAUCGUAUACAUGGUGAGUAGUGAGUCAUCGAGCGUACUGACGUCAUCAACAUGCUCUGGGGGCAAUCAACUGGCAAGCAGCGUAAAAAUCUUGCGGAUCACGCGUCACAUACUGCACGGUUGCAGCACGAUUGCAGCGUGGGUGGAUGCUGCGAGCUGCGAUGAAUGAGAGCUGUGUGCGUAUCAUCGUUUCGGCGGUAGAAAUUCGACGCGCUGCACGUCAUUCGUGCCUCUAACUUUCCACGUACGUGAAUCGAUAAGAUUCGAGGGUAUACAAUACUUCUUCCUUGAAGCUAAUUCGAAUGUUACGUGUGAAAUAAAUUAUCAUUCGUAUGUUUAAUCGUAUCGAAUGGAAAAUAUAAACGUAACGUGUACAUAGACGUAUGUGAUAAUGGAGUUAUUGCGUAAUUUCAUUUUAUUCGUAUAAUCUGUUUAUAUAGAUUGAAUUGCAUAAACUAUUAUGACUUCUGAACGAAAUGACGUAUCGAUAGAUCGAAAGGUGGACGUAAAAGGGAUUAGAUUCUUUGUUAUUUAAUGAAACUUUAAACUCGUGAAAUAAAAUUACGUGAUCUUUAAA